rnacentral:tRNA from 1 species
GUGGCUGUAGCUCAGGUGGUAGAGCCCCGGAUUGUGAUUCCGGUUGUCGUGGGUUCGAGUCCCAUCAGCCACC